ACAUUCGCUCUGAAGUAACAGAGCUGCCCCCCGGCUAACAAACUGGUGCUAACCGAGUGAGAAAAUUCGCUGAGUAUUUAAGGAAAGCAGAAGCCAUCGGCAGACUCUUUCUGCAAACGACAGCCAGGAUCAGUCAAAGAUCAUGGUGGGUGAAACAACUCCAAGCUUGAUCAGGAAGCUUCUGUUCACUAUUUGCAGUUUACGUCUCCAUGGUCAGGAAAAUGGUUUCGUUUUAGAAACUUGGAAGAUUCCUCGGAGUAAACCGAGCAAAAACCGAUCUGCCCCGGAGAGGGCUCUGAUCAAAAUAAUUAUGUCUGACGCAGAAGAAUUCUCUACUUGUUCCCGCAUUUAACCAUUUAAAUUCCCUGCUCAACAAGCACACGGGAGACAUUUCCAUUAACAAUUGUGAACGUUCCGCUUAAACCACCCUCCUCAGUGACAGACUCAAGAGCGGGAGACCAUUUUCCGUUCACACCGCGAGUUAACUCGACCUCCACGGAGCCCUCCGGUGCCAGGACUUUUGCGCAAACCGCAGGGACUUUGUUUAGCCCCCAACCUCUGCCUCAUUCUGUGCACUGACUGAACAGAGUGUGUGAAAGAUGUAGAAAUACUUAGAUAAUGAGACUGAAGCUAUGGGGAUCUUCACAUUAUUUUUGGAAGGCAAACU